UACAGAGGUCCCAAGCGUUACUGAGAAUCACUGGGUUUAAAGGGUGCGUAGGUGGUCCGUUAAGUCAGUUGUGAAAUCCCCCGGGCUCAACCCGGGAACUGCUUCUGAUACUGGCGGACUUGAGGCCAGUAGGGGGUCACUGGAACUGACGGUGGAGCGGUGAAAAUGCGUAGAUAUCGUCAGGAACGCCGGUGGUCGAAGACGGGUGAGCU
rnacentral:rRNA from 1 species